rnacentral:rRNA from 1 species
AACGAACGCUGGCGGCAGGCUUAACACAUGCAAGUCGAACGCCCCGCAAGGGGAGUGGCAGACGGGUGAGUAACGCGUGGGAAUCUACCCAUCCCUACGGAAUAACGCAUGGAAACGUGUGCUAAUACCGUAUACGCCCUACGGGGGAAAGAUUUAUCGGGGAUGGAUGAGCCCGCGUUGGAUUAGCUAGUUGGUGGGGUAAAGGCCUACCAAGGCGACGAUCCAUAGCUGGUCUGAGAGGAUGAUCAGCCACAUUGGGACUGAGACACGGCCCAAACUCCUACGGGAGGCAGCAGUGGGGAAUAUUGGACAAUGGGCGCAAGCCUGAUCCAGCCAUGCCGCGUGAGUGAUGAAGGCCUUAGGGUUGUAAAGCUCUUUCACCGGAGAAGAUAAUGACGGUAUCCGGAGAAGAAGCCCCGGCUAACUUCGU